GGUAACUCUGCUUCUCUCCAUACACCCGCCACUCGACCGACCUGCCGUGCCCUCUAGGUGGACCACGAAGGGAACUUCACGGGUUUCACCACUGAAUUCAGCGCAGUGUGGUUUAAAGUCCCCCAGAAGAACUGCGGUGUUCCCAUUUGUGCCGUGUUGUUGGUGGACUGGGCAGUGUGGUGUUUGUCUCGGACUGGGUCACGAAUCUCCAACUUUUUCUGGAGAGUACACUCCAGGACGGUCUGGUCUGGGGCUUCAUUGGUCAGAGGGUGGAUAAACGUGGUUUUACUGAUAUAGUUGGACGAAGAAGGAAAGUAACAUGAUUUCACCAUUGAAUUCAGUGUUGUGUGAUGCCUCCCCCAAUGAAAACGGGAAUUGUCGGCAAUGUCUACAGUCACCAGAUUAAUCCACUGAAGACCAGCAGUCGCUGUAGUAAUUUAUGUCUCCUGGUAAACUAAACACACUGACAGUGUGGACCUUAAGCAUCCCUGCCUCUGACAGGCAGUUGUGGCGGAAUCAGGUAAACAGCUGUUUGCUGAAGGGAAUCUUUUUCAUGGUCAUAGAAGGUCCCCCAGAAUCAGUUGGGUGGAGUUGAGGCAUAUGUGGGGGUGUCCCAGUGAAGGAGCCGAACAGCCUGGCCGGCAGCAUUAUGUCUUCGGUCAUCCGGCCACCGGUGGCGCUGUGAGGAGAACCGGUAAUGUGCAGGCACGUAUCUGGCCCUCCAGGCAUUCCCGGAGUUUCUCCUGUUCGGGAGGCUGUGAGGAAAGGGCCGGUCUCGGGUUUAUGUAAAUUGGGGGCGAGUCGGAGUGGAAAUGGGCCGGGCUCCUGCUCAGGGAGUUGUCAAACUCUGUGUGAUACCUGGACAGAAACAGGUUGUGGGAGAACGGUCUCACAGAUUCUGGUGCCGAGGAUCUGGCCUCCGCUCUCAGUACAAACCGCUCACUGACGGGACUGGACCUGGGGAAAAACUCCUUCACAGACAGAUCUGUCCCCGCUCUCUGCCACCUCGUACUGACCCUCCCGAGUCUGGAGCUGAUCACGCUGCGGGAGAAUCAGUUCAGUUCAGGUGGAGAGAAUCAGAUGAAGUAACUGCGGGGAACCAGACCCGAACUGAGUGUGUCCCAGUGAACGUCUCUCUGUAGGAACAUCACCUGCCUCGAGAUGGGAUCACUUCUGGCCGACGGCCCGCCCUCCCCUUUAAACGAUUGCUCCCCGAAUUUAACACCGAUCGGCUGUUUCGGUUCCCAGCUCGAGCUGAGGUGGCUGUGGUAUCAAGGGCGGUCCUGCUGCCCCGUGACUCAGCGGCCCGUCCAUUUGGCCCUGGAGAACUGCACCGACAGGAAGGGCCCAGGGUGGUGUUCAGUCGGGGACACCAGUGAUGGCAUUCAGUGUCCGGGGUGGGGCUUAAUCUGGACACCAAUAAUGGCAUUCAGUGUCCGGGGUGGGACUAUCUGGGGAAAGAGCCCUUUUGGCCAGAUUGCUGAGAAAGUUGCAGCUGGAAUUUUUACUCCAGUCCCUGCUGCAGCAUCUUGGUAUAAUAGUAACUUGUCAAAUAACUCAGUGGUUGUCCCUGGGUCUGCAGUGAUCUUGGACGCUGCACUCAAGUGUGAUUGUACAAUUAGUGGUCACUCUGAUACAGAAUGAAAGUGUUAA